rnacentral:tRNA from 1 species
GCGAAGGUGGUGGAAUUGGUAGACACGCUAGCUUGAGGGGCUAGUGGCCAUUGCGGCCGUGGGGGUUCGAGUCCCCCUCUUCGCACCA